AGAUCAACACACGUUUAGUUUGAGAACGUGUUUCAACAAUUUCCCCCUUUUUGAUAAUGGCAAACCAAUAUCGGGAUAUGCAUAUUAAUGACAGUUCAAGACAAGUAUUCCUCCUCAAUUUAUGAGUUCCCCCUGCAAAUGUUUAUUAGUGUGCAUAGCCCUUAUUCUUCCCCCUUUUGACAUUAACAAAAAGCAAUAAAAAUUUUAUU
rnacentral:lncRNA from 1 species